rnacentral:lncRNA from 1 species
AUAGGUCUGUGUGACAAGUGACUUCAAAACAAAGGCUUUUGGAGGAGACAGGUCUCUAACUAGCUGCUCUCCUCUCUAAACAGGUUUUAUAAGCAGGCAGAUGCCCAUGGGAGGAGGAGGGGAUGAGGAACCAGGGAAAUAGUGGAAGAGAAAAGGAGGAGAUGGGGAAGGCUAGGAGAAAGGGAGGCACAGAAAAGACACCUGGUGAGUAAGAGUUCGGCUUCCUUUUCCCUUUCAAUCGCACAAAUGAUGGGGCUACCCAUGGCUUUCAAAUCUACCUCAACACUUCUUGGGAGCUAGUUGUGGCCUGAGGCACAAGCUCACUCUCAAAGGACUCUCAGAGCUCAGAGUAACAGAGGCACAAGUCAGACAGAAAGACACGUGAGCUGUCGUGUGAUGUCAACAACAGCUGACCUGUCGUGAGACCUUAGGAAGAAAACCAGUGGGGAUCUUGUUUCAGAGCGUGUAGUGCCCAGCUAGCUUCCUGCUAGGUGCUUGGAAACAGAUCCACUAACACAAUGGAGUGAUUUUGUAAUCAGUCAUAAUACCAUAAGCCACAGAUCCGCAGACUUUGACCCCUCGCAGGUAUAACAAGCUCCUUGAUUCAGCGGCACAUGCUCUCCCUAUGGGAGGGGCGUGCUUCUUCUUCUGAUUACAUAUCCAAAGCAGAUGUUUUGCUGGAGAACAAAGCGUUAUAUUCAUUAGCAACAAUCUUAUAAACCAGGUUCUUUUUACUUGCCGGUUAACUAAUUGACAGUUAAGAAUUUGUAUUAAUAAUAACCUGCAGCCAGGCAUUGUUGAAUCUGACAGUUUUAUUAAAAACAUAAGCAAGCUCUGCAAGCCAGCAUGACCGUCAGCCUUUAUGCAGGAAUCCUGCUCGCCGAGGGUCUUAACUUGCCUGUAAAACAAUAUCACACUGGCAGGAAAUUGUUCUCCCAGGUUGAAAUCAGGAGUCGGCCGAGUUCCUUGCUUGGAUGAUUUUGUGGUUGUUGUUCCCUUUGUGACACAUCUGAACAAGGAAGUGAUUUUGUCCGUGUUUUCUUAAAAUCUUAUCAGCAUGGUUCACUUGUUCUGGACCAAAUUCUCCAGAGCACGCAGUGUGCCAGGCACUGUGUUAGGAGCUGGGAAUUCAGCAGUGAACAAAACUCUCCAAAAUCCUGCCCUUGUGGACUGACCUUCUGGUGGGGAGACAAAUAAUACAUAAGCAGGAUUUUCUCUUUGUCACUGAUUUUCAGCAAUUUGAUUAUGAUGUGGCUUGGAGUAGUUUUCUUCACAGUUCUUAUGCUCAGAGUUUUUCGAGCUCCUUGGAUCUCUGAAGUUUUUGAAGCACUGCACCGGGGUCUGCUCUGUUUACAAGGAGAAGCUCAUUUUCAAACAGUAAACU